rnacentral:rRNA from 1 species
UACGGGGGGGGCAAGCGUUGUUCGGAAUUACUGGGCGUAAAGGGUUCGUAGGUGGCCAACUAAGUCAGACGUGAAAUCCCUCAGCUCAACUGGAGAGGUGCCAUUGAUACUGGGGAACUUGAGUACUGAUGAGGUAGGCGGAAUGGACGGUGUAGCGGUGAAAUGCUUAGAUAUCGUCCAGAACACCGAUAGCGAAGGCAGCUUACUAAAGAGUAACUGACGCUGAGGCACGAAAGUGUGGGGAUCAAACAGG